rnacentral:lncRNA from 1 species
AAAAAUUAAAAAAGAUAAAAUGUCAAAGCAUUACAUACUUUGGCACCAUACCAAUUACUAAGACAAUCUGCUUAUCCGUAUUAACUAUUCAUAUUGUAUCCUGCAUUCGUUUUCUUUCAUGAAAUAGCAGAAGAGCUACUUACACAUUCUCUUAUUAUGGCCCUUCCCUCCACAACGUCCAAAUAGAAAUGUAGAGAGUUGUCAUUUGUUAUUCAGAUAGGGAGGACGUAUCAACAUCAGCAAUAUGCUCAAUUAACAAAUUGAAUCAAGUUAUGUAUUAGGUUAAGGAUUGCGAUAUAACCUUUGCAAAAAUAAUGCUACUAUAGAAGACACACCAAAUCGGCGGGUGCUCCGACUGAAUAAUUUCACAGAUUAUGUAAUUUGAACCUUCAUGAAUAACUAGAAAAACGCACAAAGUUUCUUUCAUAAAGUUCCAAUUGCCCAACAGUUUAAUUUCAUACAAAUCAAAGAAUAUGCGGACAUAUACGAAUAAAUCUGUUAAGUUUCUAAUAUUGAUAUAAGUAUGUAUAUGUAAUGUUAUGAUAACUCAAGAAUC